AUCCGGGUUGCGGACAGUGUCUGGUGGGUAGUUUGACUGGGGCGGUCUCCUCCUAAAGAGUAACGGAGGAGCACGAAGGUUGGCUAAUCCUGGUCGGACAUCAGGAGGUUAGUGCAAUGGCAUAAGCCAGCUUGACUGCGAGCGUGACGGCGCGAGCAGGUGCGAAAGCAGGUCAUAGUGAUCCGGUGGUUCUGAAUGGAAGGGCCAUCGCUCAACGGAUAAAAGGUACUCCGGGGAUAACAGGCUGAUACCGCCCAAGAGUUCAUAUCGACGGCGGUGUUUGGCACCUCGAUGUCGGCUCAUCACAUCCUGGGGCUGAAGUAGGUCCCAAGGGUAUGGCUGUUCGCCAUUUAAAGUGGUACGCGAGCUGGGUUUAGAACGUCGUGAGACAGUUCGGUCCCUAUCUGCCGUGGGCGCUGGAGAACUGAGGGGGGCUGCUCCUAGUACGAGAGGACCGGAGUGGACGCAUCACUGGUGUUCGGGUUGUCAUGCCAAUGGCACUGCCCGGUAGCUAAAUGCGGAAGAGAUAAGUGCUGAAAGCAUCUAAGCACGAAACUUGCCCCGAGAUGAGUUCUCCCUGAGACUUUAGGUCUCCUGAAGGAACGUUGAAGACGACGACGUUGAUAGGCCGGG
rnacentral:rRNA from 1 species